GUUAAGCGACUAAGCGUACACGGUGGAUGCCCUGGCAGUCAGAGGCGAUGAAGGACGUGCUAAUCUGCGAAAAGCGUCGGUAAGGUGAUAUGAACCGUUACAGCCGGCGAUGUCCGAAUGGGGAAACCCAGUGCAAUUCGUUGCACUAUCGUUAACUGAAUACAUAGGUUAACGAGGCGAACCGGGGGAACUGAAACAUCUAAGUACCCCGAGGAAAAGAAAUCAACCGAGAUUCCCCCAGUAGCGGCGAGCGAACGGGGAGCAGCCCAGAGUCUGAAUCAGCUUGUGUGUUAGUGGAACGGUCUGGAAAGUCCGACGGUACAGGGUGAUAGUCCCGUACACCAAAAUGCACAGGUUGUGAACUCGAAGAGUAGGGCGGGACACGUGGUAUCCUGUCUGAAUAUGGGGGGACCAUCCUCCAAGGCUAAAUACUCCUGACUGACCGAUAGUGAACCAGUACCGUGAGGGAAAGGCGAAAAGAACCCCGGCGAGGGGAGUGAAAAAGAACCUGAAACCGUGUACGUACAAGCAGUGGGAGCACCUUCGGGUGUGACUGCGUACCUUUUGUAUAAUGGGUCAGCGACUUAUAUUCUGUAGCAAGGUUAACCGUAUAGGGGAGCCGCAGGGAAACCGAGUCUUAACUGGGCGUUAAGUUGCAGGGUAUAGACCCGAAACCCGGUGAUCUAGCCAUGGGCAGGUUGAAGGUUGGGUAACACUAACUGGAGGACCGAACCGACUAAUGUUGAAAAAUUAGCGGAUGACUUGUGGCUGGGGGUGAAAGGCCAAUCAAACCGGGAGAUAGCUGGUUCUCCCCGAAAGCUAUUUAGGUAGCGCCUCGUGAACUCAUCUUCGGGGGUAGAGCACUGUUUCGGCUAGGGGGUCAUCCCGACUUACCAACCCGAUGCAAACUACGAAUACCGAAGAAUGUUAUCACGGGAGACACACGGCGGGUGCUAACGUCCGUCGUGAAGAGGGAAACAACCCAGACCGCCAGCUAAGGUCCCAAAGUCAUGGUUAAGUGGGAAACGAUGUGGGAAGGCACAGACAGCCAGGAUGUUGGCUUAGAAGCAGCCAUCAUUUAAAGAAAGCGUAAUAGCUCACUGGUCGAGUCGGCCUGCGCGGAAGAUGUAACGGGGCUAAACCAUGCACCGAAGCUGCGGCAGCGACACUAUGUGUUGUUGGGUAGGGGAGCGUUCUGUAAGCCUGCGAAGGUGUGCUGUGAGGCAUGCUGGAGGUAUCAGAAGUGCGAAUGCUGACAUAAGUAACGAUAAAGCGGGUGAAAAGCCCGCUCGCCGGAAGACCAAGGGUUCCUGUCCAACGUUAAUCGGGGCAGGGUGAGUCGACCCCUAAGGCGAGGCCGAAAGGCGUAGUCGAUGGGAAACAGGUUAAUAUUCCUGUACUUGGUGUUACUGCGAAGGGGGGACGGAGAAGGCUAUGUUAGCCGGGCGACGGUUGUCCCGGUUUAAGCAUGUAGGCUGAUUGUCCAGGCAAAUCCGGAUAAUCAAGGCUGAGGUGUGAUGACGAGGCACUACGGUGCUGAAGUAACAAAUGCCCUGCUUCCAGGAAAAGCCUCUAAGCAUCAGGUAACAUCAAAUCGUACCCCAAACCGACACAGGUGGUCAGGUAGAGAAUACCAAGGCGCUUGAGAGAACUCGGGUGAAGGAACUAGGCAAAAUGGUGCCGUAACUUCGGGAGAAGGCACGCUGGUGUGUAGGUGAAGUCCCUGCGGAUGGAGCUGAGACCAGUCGAAGAUACCAGCUGGCUGCAACUGUUUAUUAAAAACACAGCACUGUGCAAACACGAAAGUGGACGUAUACGGUGUGACGCCUGCCCGGUGCCGGAAGGUUAAUUGAUGGGGUUAUCCGUAAGGAGAAGCUCUUGAUCGAAGCCCCGGUAAACGGCGGCCGUAACUAUAACGGUCCUAAGGUAGCGAAAUUCCUUGUCGGGUAAGUUCCGACCUGCACGAAUGGCGUAAUGAUGGCCAGGCUGUCUCCACCCGAGACUCAGUGAAAUUGAACUCGCUGUGAAGAUGCAGUGUACCCGCGGCAAGACGGAAAGACCCCGUGAACCUUUACUAUAGCUUGACACUGAACAUUGAGCCUUGAUGUGUAGGAUAGGUGGGAGGCUUUGAAGCGUGGACGCCAGUCUGCGUGGAGCCAACCUUGAAAUACCACCCUUUAAUGUUUGAUGUUCUAACGUUGGCCCCUGACCGGGGUUGCGGACAGUGUCUGGUGGGUAGUUUGACUGGGGCGGUCUCCUCCCAAAGCGUAACGGAGGAGCACGAAGGUUAGCUAAUCCUGGUCGGACAUCAGGAGGUUAGUGCAAUGGCAUAAGCUAGCUUGACUGCGAGCGUGACGGCGCGAGCAGGUGCGAAAGCAGGUCAUAGUGAUCCGGUGGUUCUGAAUGGAAGGGCCAUCGCUCAACGGAUAAAAGGUACUCCGGGGAUAACAGGCUGAUACCGCCCAAGAGUUCAUAUCGACGGCGGUGUUUGGCACCUCGAUGUCGGCUCAUCACAUCCUGGGGCUGAAGUAGGUCCCAAGGGUAUGGCUGUUCGCCAUUUAAAGUGGUACGCGAGCUGGGUUUAGAACGUCGUGAGACAGUUCGGUCCCUAUCUGCCGUGGGCGCUGGAGAAUUGAGGGGGGCUGCUCCUAGUACGAGAGGACCGGAGUGGACGCAUCACUGGUGUUCGGGUUGUCAUGCCAAUGGCACUGCCCGGUAGCUAAAUGCGGAAGAGAUAAGUGCUGAAAGCAUCUAAGCACGAAACUUGCCCCGAGAUGAGUUCUCCCUGAGACUAUAAGUCUCCUGAAGGAACGUUGAAGACGACGACGUUGAUAGGCCGGGUGUGUAAGCGCAGCGAUGCGUUGAGCUAACCGGUACUAAUGAACCGUGAGGCUUAACC
rnacentral:rRNA from 1 species